rnacentral:rRNA from 1 species
GACGAACGCUGGCGGCGUGCUUAACACAUGCAAGUCGAACGGGAAGGCCCUGCUUUUGUGGGGUGCUCGAGUGGCGAACGGGUGAGUAACACGUGAGUAACCUGCCCUUGACUUUGGGAUAACUUCAGGAAACUGGGGCUAAUAGCGCAUAGGAGCUCCUGCUGCAUGGUGGGGGUUGGAUAGUUUCGGCGGUUGGGGAUGGACUGGCGGCGUAUCAGAUUGUUGGUGGGGUAGUGGCUUACCAAGGCUUGGACGGGUAGCCGGCCUGAGAGGGGGACCGGCCAAACUGGGCCUGAGAUAAGGCCCAGCCUCGUCUGGGAGGCAGCGGUGGGGAAGAGUGCACUAUGGGAGGAAGGCUGAUGCAGCAAAGCAGCGUGGGGGAAGACGGCAUUCGGGUAGUAAACCGAUUUCGCCUUUCACGAGGCGUGAGUGACGGUACCGGGUGAAGAAGCACCGGCUAACUCCGUG